rnacentral:rRNA from 1 species
GACGAACGCUGGCGGCGUGCUUAACACAUGCAAGUCGAACGGAAAGGCCCUGCUUUUGUGGGGUGCUCGAGUGGCGAACGGGUGAGUAACACGUGAGUAACCUGCCCUUGACUUUGGGAUAACUUCAGGAAACUGGGGCUAAUACCGGAUAGGAGCUCCUGCUGCAUGGUGGGGGUUGGAAAGUUUCGGCGGUUGGGGAUGGACUCGCGGCCUAUCAGCUUGUUGGUGGGGUAGUGGCUUACCAAGGCUUUGACGGGUAGCCGGCCUGAGAGGGUGACCGGCCACAUUGGGACUGGGCUGCGGCCCAGACUCCUACGGGAGGCAGCGGUGGGGAAUAUUGCACAAUGGGCGGAAGCCUGAUGCAGCAACGCCGCGUGCGGGAUGACGGCCUUCGGGUUGUAAACCGCUUUCGCCUGUGACGAAGCGUGAGUGACGGUAAUGGGUAAAGAAGCACCGGCUAACUACGUG